rnacentral:misc_RNA from 1 species
GGAAGUAAAAGUCUUAACAAGGUUUCCGUAGGUGAACCUGCGGAAGGAUCAUUAUUGUAUAACCGAGGUGCAAGGGCUGUCGCUGACCCGAAAGGUCGUGCACGCCCGAGUGCCCUCACACACAUCCAUCUCACCCCUAUGUGCACCACCGCGUGGGUCCCCCUUUGGCUUGUUCGGAGGGGGGCUUACGUUUUCACACAAACUUUGUAUGCAGUGUAGAAUGUAUUUUUUGUUUUUGCGAUCACGCAAUCAAUACAACUUUCAACAACGGAUCUCUUGGCUCUC